GGAUUGGUGCGAUCGAAGGGGGAGGAACACCACCACCGCUUAGCUUAGCCAUUCCACAAGAGGGGAUGACCUACUUACGGAACCAGAGAGCAGAACGCGAAAGAAUACAAAAUACCUGGACUGGGGAUUUUAUUUUUGACCGUGGGUUUCUUCUUACAAGACGAUGGAUAUUUAGCGCAGGUAAAAAAGCACCGGCGAAAAAAUGGCGACCGAUUGGCGGUGGCGGUAGUGGCGCUGCUUACUGAUUGUGAACGAGCCCACCAACGUGGGGGAGGGGUUUCGAGACGAAAACGAAAGGAGAAUACGAUCGGAACGUACGAAAGGGACGACGACGACGGAAGAAGGAACGAAAGAAAGUGAAAGCCAUGACCCAGAAACGCAAAGCAUCGACGACGAAGGCUCUUCGUCGUCGCGUUGUCGUAUUUUAUAUCGUUGCCUUUCAGAAAACAGAAUCUCAAUCGAAUUGAUCGAGAAUAAAAGCUAAGCUAAAGAA